ACUAAUUAUAUAAUUGUAUUAUCGUCUGCAGGCCAACAGGACUGCAGCGAGCUUACAAAAAUUUAAACUCCAUUAUGAAUCCCAUCUGGACUUGGAUGUUAAAAAAACGAUCAACAUUUUUUGGAUUAAAUUAAAUGCUAGACAAAUAAAUUCAACAGUUGGAGGAUUUGUGUUCGUUAAUAUGGACCUAAUGAAAGCCAUAUGUGGUGUCAUUGCAACAUAUUUCUUAGUACUAAUUCAAUUCAAAAGUCAAAAAGGCAAAUCCAAACCUUUGUACUACAUUUGGAAUUAAGUUUUAAUAAAAACCGCUAAAAACAAAAACAAUAUCAAUACCGAAAUUUAAAUAAGAAAAUCAAUACCUAUAGGUAUUUAAAACUGAAAUUUAUGUGAAUAAUGAAUACCGGUAUUCAAAAUUGAAAAAAAUGAAAACCAGUUACAGAAACCGAAAUCGAAAAAAAUAUUUUUGGUUUCAA